rnacentral:rRNA from 1 species
UGUAAGCGUAUACCAAAGUUGUUGCAGUUAAAACGCUCGUAGUCGGAAUUUGGCAGUUCCGGAUGUGUGCACGUCGUGUGCGCACUUCGCGGGGAUUGCUUUUGUGGUCUUGCGUAGGAUGAGGCACUUUUAUUAGUGAACGUCCUCACGCAACCACUUUUUACUGUGAGAAAAUCAGAGUGCUCAAAGCAGGCAUUUGCCGUGAAUGUAUUAGCAUGGAAUAAUAGAAUAGGACUUGGAUCUAUUUUGUUGGUUUGUUGGGACUGAGUAAUGAUUAAGAGGGACAGUUGGGGGCAUUUGUAUUUCGGUGCUAGAGGUGAAAUUCUUAGAUUACCGAAAGACAAACUGCUGCGAAAGCGUCUGCCAAGGAUGUUUUCAUUGA